AAGUCGUAACAAGGUUUCCGUAGGUGAACCUGCGGAAGGAUCAUUACAGAGAACUUGCCCUUCGGGGUAGAUCUCCCACCCUUUGUUUACAUUACCCUUGUUGCUUUGGCAGGCCCGUCUCUCGGGACCGCCGGCUUCGGCUGGCCCGCGCCUGCCAGAGGAUCUCAAACUCUUGUUAAUUGUCGUCUGAGUAAUAUUUAAUAAGUUAAAA
rnacentral:misc_RNA from 1 species